AACGAACGCUGGCGGCGCGCCUAAUACAUGCAAGUCGAGCGAGAAGACGUAGCAAUACGUUUGUAAAGCGGCGAACGGGUGAGGAAUACAUGGGUAACCUACCCUCGAGUGGGGAAUAACUAGCCGAAAGGUUAGCUAAUACCGCGUACGCUCCUUGGACUUCGGUUCAGGGAGGAAAGCGAUACCGUGGGUAUCGCGCUCUUGGAUGGGCUCAUGUCCUAUCAGCUUGUUGGUGAGGAACGGCUCACCAAGGCUUCGACGGGUAGCUGGUCUGAGAGGACGAUCAGCCACACUGGCACUGCGACACGGGCCAGACUCCUACGGGAGGCAGCAGUAAGGAAUAUUGCGCAAAUGGGCGAAAAGCCUGACGCAGCGACGCCGCGUGGGGGA
rnacentral:rRNA from 1 species